AGUGAACGCUGGCGGUAGGCCUAACACAUGCAAGUCGAACGGCAGCACAGGAGAGCUUGCUCUCUGGGUUGCGAGUGGCGGACGGGUGAGGAAUACAUCGGAAUCUACCUUUUCGUGGGGGUUGACGUAGGGAAACUUACGCUAUUACCGCAUACGACCUACGGGUGAAAGUGGCGGACCGCAAGGCCUCAAGCGAUUAGAUGAGCCGAUGUCCGAUUAGCUAGUUGGCGGGGUAAUGGCCCACCAAGGCGACGAUCGGUAGCUGGUCUGAGAGGAUGAUCAGCCACACUGGAACUGAGACACGGUCCAGACUCCUACGGGAGGCAGCAGUGGGGAAUAUUGGACAAUGGGCGCAAGCCUGAUCCAGCCAUACCGCGUGGGUGAAGAAGGCCUUCGGGUUGUAAAGCCCUUUUGUUGGGAAAGAAAUCCUAUCGGUUAAUAACCGGUGGGGAUGACGGUACCCAAAGAAUAAGCACCGGCUAACUUCGUGCCAGCAGCCGCGGUAAGAC
rnacentral:rRNA from 1 species